rnacentral:rRNA from 1 species
AUUGAACGCUGGCGGCAGGCCUAACACAUGCAAGUCGAGCGGAUGAAGGGAGCUUGCUCCUGGAUUCAGCGGCGGACGGGUGAGUAAUGCCUAGGAAUCUGCCUGGUAGUGGGGGAUAACGUCCGGAAACGGGCGCUAAUACCGCAUACGUCCUGAGGAAGAAAGUGGGGGAUCUUCGGACCUCACGCUAUCAGAUGAACCUAGGUCGGAUUAGCUAGUUGGUGGGGUAAAGGCCUACCAAGGCGACGAUCCGUAACUGGUCUGAGAGGAUGAUCAGUCACACUGGAACUGAGACACGGUCCAGACUCCUACGGGAGGCAGCAGUGGGGAAUAUUGGACAAUGGGCGAAAGCCUGAUCCAGCCAUGCCGCGUGUGUGAAGAAGGUCUUCGGAUUGUAAAGCACUUUAAGUUGGGAGGAAGGGCAGUAAGUUAAUACCUUGCUGUUUUGACGGUACCAACAGAAUAAGCACCGGCUAACUUCGUG